rnacentral:tRNA from 1 species
GAGGGUAUAGCUCAGUGGUAGUGUGUGUGCUUAACAUGCAUGAGGUCCUGAGUUCAACCCCAGUACCUCCA